ACUGGUGAGUAACACGUGGGAAACCUGCCCAGCAAGCGGGGGAUAACACCUGGAAACAGAUGCUAAUACCGCAUAACAACUUGGACCGCAUGGUCCGAGCUUGAAAGAUGGCUUCGGCUAUCACUUUUGGAUGGUCCCGCGGCGUAUUAGCUAGAUGGUGGGGUAACGGCUCACCAUGGCAAUGAUACGUAGCCGACCUGAGAGGGUAAUCGGCCACAUUGGGACUGAGACACGGCCCAAACUCCUACGGGAGGCAGCAGUAGGGAAUCUUCCACAAUGGACGAAAGUCUGAUGGAGCAACGCCGCGUGAGUGAAGAAGGGUUUCGGCUCGUAAAACUCUGUUGUUAAAGAAGAACAUAUCUGAGAGUAACUGUUCAGGUAUUGACGGUAUUUAACCAGAAAGCCACGGCUAACUACGUGCCAGCAGCCGCGGUAAUACGUAGGUGGCAAGCGUUGUCCGGAUUUAUUGGGCGUAAAGCGAGCGCAGGCGGUUUUUUAAGUCUGAUGUGAAAGCCUUCGGCUCAACCGAAGAAGUGCAUCGGAAACUGGGAAACUUGAGUGCAGAAGAGGACAGUGGAACUCCAUGUGUAGCGGUGAAAUGCGUAGAUAUAUGGAAGAACACCAGUGGCGAAGGCGGCUGUCUGGUCUGUAACUGACGCUGAGGCUCGAAAGUAUGGGUAGCAAACAGGAUUAGAUACCCUGGUAGUCCAUACCGUAAACGAUGAAUGCUAAGUGUUGGAGGGUUUCCGCCCUUCAGUGCUGCAGCUAACGCAUUAAGCAUUCCGCCUGGGGAGUACGGCCGCAAGGCUGAAACUCAAAGGAAUUGACGGGGGCCCGCACAAGCGGUGGAGCAUGUGGUUUAAUUCGAAGCUACGCGAAGAACCUUACCAGGUCUUGACAUACUAUGCAAAUCUAAGAGAUUAGACGUUCCCUUCGGGGACAUGGAUACAGGUGGUGCAUGGUUGUCGUCAGCUCGUGUCGUGAGAUGUUGGGUUAAGUCCCGCAACGAGCGCAACCCUUAUUAUCAGUUGCCAGCAUUAAGUUGGGCACUCUGGUGAGACUGCCGGUGACAAACCGGAGGAAGGUGGGGAUGACGUCAAAUCAUCAUGCCCCUUAUGACCUGGGCUACACACGUGCUACAAUGGAUGGUACAACGAGUUGCGAACUCGCGAGAGUAAGCUAAUCUCUUAAAGCCAUUCUCAGUUCGGAUUGUAGGCUGCAACUCGCCUACAUGAAGUCGGAAUCGCUAGUAAUCGCGGAUCAGCAUGCCGCGGUGAAUACGUUCCCGGGCCUUGUACACACCGCCC
rnacentral:rRNA from 2 species